rnacentral:rRNA from 1 species
UACGAAGGGGCUAGCGUUGUUCGGAUUUACUGGGCGUAAAGCGCACGUAGGCGGAUCGUUAAGUCGGGGGUGAAAUCCUGGGCUCAACCCCAGAACUGCCUUCGAUACUGGCGAUCUAGAGUCCGGAAGAGGUGAGUGGAACUCCUAGUGUAGAGGUGGAAUUCGUAGAUAUUAGGAAGAACACCAGUGGCGAAGGCGGCUCACUGGUCCGGUACUGACGCUGAGGUGCGAAAGCGUGGGGAGCAACAGG